ACCACAUCAUAUCACAACAACGGACUUAAAAAUUUCACAAUGCUAGAUCGUACUUCCAUCGCUAUAUGUCUGCUAUUAUGUGUCAAAUUUCUGGUUGCUACUGAGAGUAUGAAGGCAUGCCGCAAUUGUGAAUACAACGGUGAAUCGCAGAGCCCCCUGACUCGUUUUGAUGUUCAGCUUUCUAGAUGUCGCUUGCGGCAAUGUUUUUGUCGCUGUGAUGGUUCGGUUUUUUGUCCUAGGGCACGGCACCGAUUGAUUUGUAGAGAUAAUUGUAUCUUGUGUAGAAAUCCCCUCACGUGGGAGGAGUUACCGCCCUUCACAAUAUUUGAGAUUUCUUUAAGAGGUAUUGACAUGACUUGUGAAUGCGGAUGUUUUGGAACGUAUUCUUGUACACAGUCUAACAGAUGAUUUUAUAAGAAUUAAUAUGUGUUUGGAUAUGUAUACAUAUACAGGCGGAUAUUCACCCAAUCUAUAGUCUUAAUGUAUGUCAAAAGACUAAUUUUAAAACCUUCUUUUGCAUCGAGAAAGUUCUAGGGGAGACCUUUAUUUUUCAAAUAUGUGUUUAACAAUAAUCAAGUAUUCAUCUGACAUGAAACUCGAAUGAUUUAUUUCUUUGUUCAAAGCUUUCAUAUUCGGAGUAUAAUCAUUUCGAAUAAAACUGAUGUCUGCCAAUCUGCUAA